rnacentral:rRNA from 1 species
UACGUAGGGAGCAAGCGUUGUCCGGAAUCAUUGGGCGUAAAGCGCGCGUAGGUGGCUUCGUAAGUCCGUUGUGAAAGUCAAAGGCUCAACCUUUGAAAGCCGAUGGAUACUGUGGAGCUAGAGUACGGAAGAGGCGAGUGGAAUUCCUGGUGUAGCGGUGGAAUGCGCAGAUAUCAGGAGGAACACCAAUAGCGAAGGCAGCUCGCUGGGACGUUACUGACACUGAGGCGCGAAAGCGUGGGAGC